CUCACCUUGUUCAACACAACUGGAGCCAGACUUUUCAGAACAGAUUGGUAUUCUUCAGUUCUCCAAGUUAAGGGCUGUUUAUUUUGAAAGGAAUGAAUGGCCAAUUAGGCUGUGAAGGCGUGCUGCAGCCUGCCAUUUCUCUUGGCAAUAACUUGGAAGAAAGAAGAGAAGCUUUUUGGAAAAAAAUCUCUGCUAAGGUGAGAUUUAUUGCAUGCUGGCUUCUUUUGAACACGUGUUCCCCAUAGUCAAUCACAGAAUCAUAGAAUAUCCUGAGUUGGAAGGGACCCACGAGUGUCAUUGUGUCAACUCUUGACUCAGCACAGGACUACCUAAAAAUUAAGCCUGAGGUCUGAGAGCAUUGUCCAAAUGCUCCUUGAACUCUGUCAGGCUUGGUGCCAUGACCACUUCCCCUUAGGAGCCUGUCCCAGUGCCUGACCACCUCUGGGUGCAGAAAUGUUUCCUAACUCCCAGCCUGACCCUCCCCUGUCCCAGCUCCAUGCCGUUCCCUCGGGUCCUGUCGCUGUCCCCAGAGAGCAGAGCUCAGCGCCUGCCCCUCCGCUCCCCUCGUGAGGGAGCUGCAGGCCGCCAUGAGGCCUCCCCUCAGUCUCUCCUCCAGGCUGAACAAUCCAUCUGACUUCCACUGCUUCUCAUACAUCUUGCCCUCUAGACUCUUCACUAUCUUUGUUGCAUUCCUUUGGACACUCUCUGAUAGUUGUAUGUCCUUGUAUUGUGGUACCCAAAACUGCAUACAGUACUUGAGGUGAGGCCACACCAGUGCAGAGUAGAGUGGGACAAUUGCUACUCUCAACCGUAGCUAUGCUAUGCUUAACGCACAUCAGGUUAAGGGGUUUGGCUGCCCUGGCUCACUGUUGACUCAUGUUCAAGUCGUCAUUGACCAAAACAUCCAAAUCCCUUUCCAUGGGGCUGUUCUACAGCCUCUCAUCCCCCAGUCUGUAUUAUUUCAAUCAGAAUGGGAUGGAUGCAGCUCUCGAGAAACCUGCAGCCUGCAAAUCCACACUCGCCUGUGAACCAGAGAGCUGCAGGGAGCUUGCCAGGAAGGAAAGUAAUUUUAGAGUGUGAUUUGGAAAAUGAUUCAGUUAAAAAAUUGCUAUUUUUGAAGGGCUACUUUCCACUGGGAUCCAGUCCACAGCAUAUUCACAGAAGCACUUGUCUUGCUGCAGCAGAGCGUGGUGGAGGUGGGAGGAAGAAGGUCUGCCUGGGAGCUGGCAACCCCACACCUCAAAUCACCACUGGGAAAACAGUCCAUGGGAAUGCAUCCUCCUCCCGCUUCAAGUCUUACCUGUAUUUGGCAGUGGGAUUUAAGCCUCUUCAAUCAAUACCUUCUUGA
rnacentral:lncRNA from 1 species